GCCAUUGCUGGAAAAAGCUUAUGGAAGCCAUGCCGAAGAAGCCCCAUGGAAUCUAUGGUCCGUAAAGCCAAAGCCACCUCCAAGAAACUCCCAUAAAAAUCGUUUCUCUCUAGGUUUUGGGUUUUGGUGCUUUUGGAAAAACCACACUUAAUUACUUCCUAAGGAAAUGUCACAUCGAAGAGG